UACGUAGGGGGCAAGCGUUAUCCGGAUUUACUGGGCGUAAAGCGCGUGUAGGCUGCUCAGAAAGUCGGAUGUGAAAGCCCUGGGCUUAACCUAGGAAGUGCAUUCGAAACUUCUGAGCUUGAGUUCUGGAGAGGAAGGCGGAAUUCUCGGUGUAGAGGUGAAAUUCGUAGAUAUCGAGAGGAACACCGGUGGCGAAGGCGGCCUUCUGGACAGUGACUGACGCUGAGACGCGAAAGCGUGGGGAGCAAACAGG
rnacentral:rRNA from 1 species